rnacentral:sRNA from 1 species
UCCAUUGAUUAAGCCUCAUAUUAUAGAGC